rnacentral:rRNA from 1 species
UAGGUGAAGUGAUUUACUCAUGGAGCUGAAGUCAGUCGAAGAUACCAGCUGGCUGCAACUGUUUAUUAAAAACACAGCACUGUGCAAACACGAAAGUGGACGUAUACGGUGUGACGCCUGCCCGGUGCCGGAAGGUUAAUUGAUGGGGUCAGCGCAAGCGAAGCUCCUGAUCGAAGCCCCGGUAAACGGCGGCCGUAACUAUAACGGUCCUAAGGUAGCGAAAUUCCUUGUCGGGUAAGUUCCGACCUGCACGAAUGGCGUAAUGAUGGCCAGGCUGUCUCCACCCGAGACUCAGUGAAAUUGAACUCGCUGUGAAGAUGCAGUGUACCCGCGGCAAGACGGAAAGACCCCGUGAACCUUUACUAUAGCUUGACACUGAACAUUGAGCCUUGAUGUGUAGGAUAGGUGGGAGGCUUUGAAGUGUGGACGCCAGUCUGCAUGGAGCCGACCUUGAAAUACCACCCUUUAAUGUUUGAUGUUCUAACGUGGACCCGUUACCCGGGUUGCGGACAGUGUCUGGUGGGUAGUUUGACUGGGGCGGUCUCCUCCUAAAGAGUAACGGAGGAGCACGAAGGUUGGCUAAUCCUGGUCGGACAUCAGGAGGUUAGUGCAAUGGCAUAAGCCAGCUUGACUGCGAGCGUGACGGCGCGAGCAGGUGCGAAAGCAGGUCAUAGUGAUCCGGUGGUUCUGAAUGGAAGGGCCAUCGCUCAACGGAUAAAAGGUACUCCGGGGAUAACAGGCUGAUACCGCCCAAGAGUUCAUAUCGACGGCGGUGUUUGGCACCUCGAUGUCGGCUCAUCACAUCCUGGGGCUGAAGUAGGUCCCAAGGGUAUGGCUGUUCGCCAUUUAAAGUGGUACGCGAGCUGGGUUUAGAACGUCGUGAGACAGUUCGGUCCCUAUCUGCCGUGGGCGCUGGAGAACUGAGGGGGGCUGCUCCUAGUACGAGAGGACCGGAGUGGACGCAUCACUGGUGUUCGGGUUGUCAUGCCAAUGGCACUGCCCGGUAGCUAAAUGCGGAAGAGAUAAGUGCUGAAAGCAUCUAAGCACGAAACUUGCCCCGAGAUGAGUUCUCCCUGAGACUUUAGGUCUCCUGAAGGAACGUUGAAGACGACGACGUUGAUAGGCCGGGUGUGUAAGCGCAGCGAUGCGUUGAGCUAACCGGUACUAAUGAACCGUGAGGCUUAACCUUACAACGCCGAAG